AUCAUCAGUCUGGAACAAAAGAUUACAAAAUCUCGCUACAUUUGCGUGUGGAUUCAGAGGGUUUUUGUAUGUAACUUCACAAAUUAUAUAAAGUUCAUUGUGAAGAUCAAAUUUUUAUAUGAUUUCAUUUUAUUUGUUUUAUUGAAAUCACUUGUUUUUACACGCUCUCCUAUCCUAUGUGGCUGAAUACAAAUCAGACAUUCUUGAAGGCUACCCUACUACAUUGUUUUGUCGCCGGCCCCUCCUCUUUUUUCCCGGGCUUGGGACCGGCUGUGACGGGAAAACCCCAUCACAGGCAGAGUUACACGACUCUACCUAUCCGUGAACAUAUAUAUAACCUAAACGCACACAUAUAAUGGGGUGAAGGAGAAGCUGAUGAUGCUAGACCAGAGAGAACAUGAAUGAGCAAUUCAGUGUCAUUUUCACAAGCAAUAUCAAAAGGGAUAAUAAAAAGUUUUAUUAUAGACAAUUUUCAUAAAAAUAUAAACAUCUUAUGCAAUGAGAAACUAAUUUCAGCAAUGGGGUCCAAAAGGGAUACCUUUUCCAUUCAAGAUCUGAGCAUUCAUACUAAUACAACCUAAGGUACCCAAAGUCGCAAAUAUUAACUGGACUAAGAAGUUCAAAUAGUUUCUAGAGAGACAUCAAGCUGUUCAUUUCAUUUCUUCUAAGACCAACAUAAUCCCCUAUUUGUUUCCUAGUGGCUAAUGUAUCAAUGCACUAUUACUUUUUCUAAUAUGAAAUAGCUGUGACGGGAAAAUCAGAUGAAGAAUCAAACAACUAGUUUCAUGGUGAAGUUCUAAUUUUAUUUUAUUUUGUUAAUAAGUUACACACAUGGAGAAUCAAACAACUAGUUUCAUGGUUGAGAGUGCUGGGAAUUUUCGAUCAUUUCAUUACUGCAUUUAAUAGAUUUGAUAAUGAAAAUCUAUGAAAAUAGCAAAUGAAAGAUAGUGAAAACAGAGGUCAGUAAUGCCAAGAGUAGUAAUCAGGAAACAUUAUGACUGAUGAGCAAGUAGAAAUCAGAAAACAAGCUAGUCAUCUCUACAAAAGAAGGCUCCCCACCAUAUUCCCAAUCGUAGUUCUACAAGAUAUGUAUUAUAUAAAUGGAAUUAUAGGAAUCUUUUAUACGACACAGAAUUCUCACCAAAAUAGAAACUCUCACCAAAAUAGCAAAGCACUUAUCUCAUUAGUUAAUUGGAGAGAGGACAUAAAACAAGAAAAUUUUAAAAUAAACACGCCAAUAUCUACAACAAAAAAGUUCAUAUAUAUGAUAUGAUAAUUAUUUCUUGAGUAUAUCAUCCGACUUCCAAGACAUCAAUCAAGAGAUGGAUUACAAAAAAAAACGUACAAUAAUCGUCAAUGUAACAACAUACUCACCAAUCAAAACAAGUUUGCAGCAAAUGAUGAAGACAGAAGAAAAAAACAAUGUUGUCUAAACAUGUUCAUGAAAUUAUACCUAAAGAACUUCUAAUGACAAAAAAACAAGAAAGCAGAACAGUAUACCCACAACAAACAGUCAAGAUGGCGAACUUCAAGUCCAACAUCUUAGGCAGAGGGAGAGGAAACACCCUCCCAAUCAAAAUAUCAUAAGCAGCAUAGAGUUUCAGACACUUCCCAAAAUUUAGAAGACCAACAAUAAUAAUCAAAUAAAAGCCUUACGAGCAAGAUCUAAGGAAGCUACACCAAAAUCUCAUCCAGCAACUUUAUCAGCAUGCAAGUACAACGAACAUUCUGCUUUAGGCACACAUUCUUGUAACUGAGGAAACCAGACAUAAAUUGAACAACCAGAGUUGAAUAACCUUAAAAAGAAGACCACAACAAUAGAAGAAAACCAGAUAUAAGUUGAACACCGGAACGCCUUCCUCUGUAAACAUUCUGCUUUAAGAACCACCACCCCAAAGAUCAGACAUCUGGAAAUUGAAGAGCAUAACAAUAAGCAAGAGGAAUGUCCAGCUAAAAGAUAAAUAACAGUAGGAAAAUAUUAUACUCCCUCUGCCACCCUCGAUAAAUAUUAUAUCAAUGUCAGCAUCAAAGAUUGGUCCAUGUCCAACAACUGGACCCGAAAACAAUAUCCACAUAACAGACAAAAACUGAUGAAGCAGACCAAAUGGGAACCAAGAAUCAAACCAAGAGGACGCCUUCCCUUGUAAACUGAGCAACCCUCAGAUCAGACUUCUGGAAAUUGAAGAGCAAAAAAAAUAAGCAAGGGGGAAAUUCAACUAGAAGAUAAAUGGCAGUAGAAAAAUAUUGUACUCCCUCUGCCACCCUCGAUAAACACUUUAAAAAUACUGUCAGCAUCAAAAAAUCCAUCCAUCCAUGUCCAACAACUAGACCAAAAUAGCCCCAUCUUAAGCUCCUUAUCUGAUCGAACUAAAACUUAUUUUGCAUCUCCUGUCACAUGGUGAGGCCAAAAACAAUAUCCACAUCUAUGUAACAAACAAAAAACUGAUCAAAUAGAACAAAAGGGAACCAAUCACCAAACCAGAACCGCUUUUCCUUCAAAAAUGGUGAAGAACCACACAAAGAUCCAUCUGAAAUGGAAGUGCAUAAACAAUAAGCAAGGGGAAAGCCCAGGAAGAAGACAAUGACAGUAGAAAAAUAUUAUACUCCCUCUACAAUGCUUCACGUCCAACAACCAGACCAAGAUAGCCCCACCUUAAGCUCCGACUUUGGUAGAAUCAAAACUUAUUUUGUAUCUCCUGUCAAAGGGUGGGACCAAAAACAAUAUACACAUGUACGUAACAAACAAAAAAUAGAUUAAACAGAGCAAAAGGGAACCAAGCACCAAACCAGAACCGCCUUCCCACGAGAACUGGUUAAUUAGAACCCAAAGAUCAAACAUUUGAAGAUUAAAGAGCAUAACAAUAAGCAAAGGGAAAAAGUUCACCUAGAAGAUAAAUCACAAUAGAAAAAUAAUAUACUCCUGUUGACACCCACCAUAAACACUAUACCAAUGGCAGCAUCCAAGAUUGGUCCAUAUCCAAAUAACCAGACCAAGAUAGCCUCACCUUAAAUACCUAACUUUGAUGGAAUCAAAACCAAUUUUGUAUCUCCUGACACAGGGUGAGGCAGAAAACAAGGUCCAAGUCUACGUAACAAAAUAAAACUAUAAUAGAGAGCAAAGAUAACCAAGGAUCAAACCAGAACAGUCUUCCACAGAAGCCUGAUUAAGAAACACACAACGAUCCGGCAUCUGGAAAUUGAAAAGAAUAACGAUAAGCAAGGGAAAGUUUAGGUAGAAUAUAAAAUUUAGUAAAAAAGUUACAAUACUAUACUCCCUAUGCAACCCUUGAUAAACACUAUAUCAAUGACAGCGUCAAAGGUUGCUCCGUGUCCAACAAUCAGACCAAGAUUGCACCACCAUAAGCUCCUACUUUGAUAGAAUCAAAACUUAAUUUAUAUUUUGUGUCAUAGGGUGAUGCAGAAAACAAUAUCCACGCCAACGUAACAAACAAAAAACUGAUGAAAGAGAAAAAAGAUAACAAAGCAUCAAACCGAACAGCCUUCCAAUUAAGAACCACAACGAUCAGAAAUCUGAAAAUUGAAGAGUAUAACGACAAGCACCGGAAACUCUAGGUAGAAGAGAAAAUAUAGUAGAAGAAAAUGUAGUAUAACAAUCUGCAUCCCUCAAUAAACAUUAUAUCAAUUGACAUCUUAUAUUAGUCCGCAUCCAACAACCCCACCAAGUUGGCCCCCACCUUAAGCUCCCACUUUGAUAGAAUAAAACUGAAUUUGUAUCUCCUGUCACAGGGUGAGGGCGAAAAAAAUAUCAAAGUCUACGUAACAAAAAAAAAAAAACUAUAAUAGAGAACACAGACAACCAAGCGUCAAACAAGAACUGCCUUUCAGAGAAGCUUGAUUAAGAACAAAACAGCAACCAAAGAUUUGUCCAUGUCCAAAAACCAGACCAAGAUAGCCCCCACCUUAAGCUCCUACUUUGAUAGAAUCAAAACCUAUUUUGUAUCUCCUGUCACAGGGUGAGGCUGAAAACAACAUCCAAGUCUACAUAACAGCAAAAGAACUAUAAUUGAGAGAGCAAAGAUAACCAAUUAUCAAACCCGAACUGCCUUCCAGUUAAACUUGAUUAAGAACCACAUAAUGAACAGGCAUCUGGAAAUGGAAGAGAGACUAACAAUAACCACAGGAAAGUCUAGAUGGAAGAUAAAUUGUAGUAGAAAAAAAUACUAUAUUAUACUCCCUCUGCCAUCCUCGAUAAACACUAUAAUUGACAGCGUCAAAGGUUGAUCUGUGGCCAAUAUAACUAAACCAAGAUUAGCCCCACCUUGAGCUCCUACUUUGAUAAAAUCAAAACAAAAUUUUUAUCAUCUGCCAUAGGAUGAGGCAGAAAUACAAUAUACACGUAUACGUAACAAACAAAAAAACUGAUGAUAGAGAGAAAAGAUAAACCCAGCAUCAAACCAGAAGUGCCUUCAAGUAAAGAACACCUGGAAAUUGAAGAGUAUAACGAUAAGUAUAGGAAACUCAAGGUAAAAGAGAAAACGUAAAAAAAAAAAAAAUAACUAUACUGUACACCAUCUGCCACCCUCGACAAACACUAUAUCAAUGAUGGCAUCAUAGAUUAGUCCAUAUCCAAAAACCAGACCAAGAUAACCCCCACCUUAAGCUUCAACUUUGAUAGAAUCAAAACCUAUUUUGUCUCCUGGCACAGGGUGAGGACCAAAACAUUGUCCAAGUCUACAUAACAAAUAAACAAUAAUUACAGAGCAAAGGUGACCAAUUAGCAAACCAGAACAGCCUUCCCGUGAAGCUUGAUUAAAAACCACACAGCGAUCAGGCAUCUGGAAAUUGAUGAGAACAACGGUAAGCAUGGGAAAGUCUAGGUAGAAGAUAAAAGAUAGUAAAAAAAAAAAAAACUAUUCUAUACUCUCUUUGCCAGGCCCACACCACUAUAUCAAUGACAGCAUCAAAGGUAGAUCCGUGUUCAAUAACCAGGCCAACAUUAGCCACACCAUAAGCUCCUUCUUUCAAAACUUAAUUUUUAUCUCCUAUCAUAGGGUGAGGCAGAGAACAAUAUCCACGUCUACAUAACAACAAAAAAUUGUUGAAACUGACAAAAGAUAACCAAGAAAACAAGAAGUGCCAUCCAUUAUGGAAAUUGAAGAGUAUAACUAUAAACACGGGAAACUCUAGGUAGAAGAGAAAAUGUAGUAGAAAAAAAAAAUACUAUUAUGUAUUUCCUUUGCGACCCUCGAUUUACAAUAUACCAAUGAUAACAUCAAAGAUCUGUCCGCGUCCAAAAACCAGACCAAGAUAGCCCCCACAUUAAGCUCCUACAGUGAUGGAAUCAAAACCUAUUUUGUAUCUCCUGUCACAGGGUAGGCCCAAAACAAUAUCCAAGUCUAUAUAACAACAAAAGAAAUAUAAUAGAGAGAUCAAAUGCAACCAAUUAUGAACCCAGAACUGCCUUCCAGUUAAGCUUGAUUAAGAACCACACAACGAUCAGGCAUCUGGAAAUUGAAGAGAAUAACAAUAAGCACGGGAAAGUCAAGAUGGAAGAUAAAUUGUAGCAGAAUUAAUACAAUACUAUACUCCCUCUGACACCCUCGAUAAACAUUAUAUCAGUGACAGCAUCAAAAGUUGAUAUGUCUCCAAUAACUAGACCAAGAUUAGCCCCACCAUAAGCUGCUUCUUUCACAACUUAAUUUUUAACCCCUGUCACAAGGUGAGGCAGAAAACAAUAUCCACGUCUACGUAACAAAUAAAAGAUUGUUGAAACUGACAAAAGAUAACCAAGCAUACCAGAAGUGCCUUCCAGUUAAGAACCACACAACAAUCAGACAUCUGGAAAUUGAAGAGUAUAACUAUUAGCACGGGAAACUCUAGGUAGAAGAGAAAAUGUAGUAGAAAAAAAAUACUAUUAUGUACUCCAUGUACUCCCUUUACCACCCACAUUAAACUAUAUCAAUGACAGCAUGAAGGAUUUGUCAGUGUACCAAAAACCAGACCAAGACACGCCCCCACCUUAAGCUCCUACUUUGAUAGAAUCAGAACCUAUUUUGUAUCUCCUAUCACAGGGUGAGGCUGAAACCAACAUCGAGUCUAAAUAACAACAAAAGAACUACAAUAGAGAGAGCAAAGGUAACCAACUAUCAAACCCGAACUGCCGUCCAGUAAGCUUGAUUAAGAACCACACAACGAUCGGGCAUCUGGAAAUGGAAGAGAAUAACGAUAAGCACCGGAAGGUCUAGAUGGAAGAUAAAUUGUAUUAGAAGAAAUACUAUACUAACUCCCUCUGCCACCCUCGAAAAACAUAUCAUGACCAUCAAAGGAUUGAUUGUGUGCAAUAACUGACUAAGAUUAGCCCUACCUUAAGCCCUACUUUGAUAAAAUUAAAACUUAAUUUUUAUCUCAUGUCAUAGGGUGGGGCAGAAAACAAUAUCACGUCUAUGUACAAACAAAAAUUGUUGAAAUGACAAAAGAUAACCAAACAUCAAACCAGAAGUGUCAUCCAGUUAAGAACCACCCCACGAUCAGACAUCUGGAAAUUGAAGAGUAUAUCUAUAAGCACGGGAAACUCUAGGUAGAAGAGAAAAUGUAUAGAAAUAAAAAUACUAUUAUGUACUCCCUUUGCCACCCUCGAUUAACACAAUAUCAAUGACUCAUCAAAGAUCUGUCCGCGUCCAAAAACCAGACCAAGAUAGCCCCCACAUUAAGCUCCUACAGUGAUGGAAUCAAAACCUAUUUUGUAUCUCCUGUCACAGGGUAGGCCCAAAACAAUAUCCAAGUCUAUAUAACAACAAAAGAAUAUAAUAGAGAGAUCAAAUGCAACCAAUUAUGAACCCAGAACUGCCUUCCAGUUAAGCUUGAUUAAGAACCAAACAACGAUCAGGCAUCUGGAAAUCGAAGAGAAUAACAAUAAGCACGGGAAAGUCAAGAUGGAAGAUAAAUUGUAGCAGAAUUAAUACAAUACUAUACUCCCUCUGACACCCUCGAUAAACAUUAUAUCAGUGACAGCAUCAAAAGUUGAUGUCUCCAGUAACUAGACCAAGAUUAGCCCCACCAUAAGCUGCUUCUUUCACAACUUAAUUUUUAACUCCUGUCACAAGGUGAGGCAGAAAACAAUAUCCACGUCUACGUAACAAAUAAAAGAUUGUUGAAACUGACAAAAGAUAACCAAGCAUACCAGAAGUGCCUUCCAGUUAAGAACCACACAACAAUCAGACAUCUGGAAAUUGAAGAGUAUAACUAUUAGCACGGGAAACUCUAGGUAGAAGAGAAAAUGUAGGUAGAAAAAAAAUACUAUUAGUACUCCCUUUACCACCCACUAUUAACACUAUAUCAAUGACAGCAUGAAGGAUUUGUCAGUGUCCAAAAACCAGACCAAGACAGCCCCCACCUUAAGCUCCUACUUGAUAGAAUCAGAACCUAUUUUGUAUCUCCUAUCACAGGGUGAGGCUGAAACCAACAUCCGAGUCUAAAUAACAACAAAAGAACUACAAUAGAGAGAGCAAAGGUAACCAACUAUCAAACCCGAACUGCCGUCCAGUUAAGCUUGAUUAAGAACCACACAACGAUCGGGCAUCUGGAAAUGAAGAGAAUAACGAUAAGCACCGGAAGGUCUAGAUGGAAGAUAAAUUGUAUAGAAGAAAUACUAUACUAUACUCCCUCUGCCACCCUCGAUAAACACACUAUAUAGUGACCACGUCAAAGGAUUGACUUGUGUGCAAUAACUUGACUAAGAUUAGCCCUACCUUAAGCUCCUACUUGAUAAAAUUAAAACUUAAUUUUUAUCUCAUGUCAUAGGGUGGGGCAGAAAACAAUAUCCACGUCUAUGUAGCAAACAAAAUUGUUGAACUGACAAAAGAUAACCAAACAUCAAACAGAAGUGUCUCCAGUUAAGAACCACCCCACGAUCAGACAUCUGGAAAUUGAAGAGUAUAUCUAUAAGCACGGGAAACUCGAGGUAGAAGAGAAAAUGUAGUAGAAUAAAAAUACUAUUAUGUACUCCCUUUGCCACCCUCGAUUAACACAAUAUCAAUGACUACAUCAAAGAUCUGUCGCGUCCAAAAACCAGACCAAGAUAGCCCCCACAUUAAGCUCCUACAGUGAUGGAAUCAAAACCUAUUUUGUAUCUCCUGUCACAGGGUAGGCUCAAAACAAUAUCCAAGUCUAUAUAACAACAAAAGAAAUAUAAUAGAGAGAUCAAAUGCAACCAAUUAUGAACCCAGAACUGCCUUCCAGUUAAGCUUGAUUAAGAACCAAACAACGAUCAGGCAUCUGGAAAUCGAAGAGAAUAACAAUAAGCACGGGAAAGUCAAGAUGGAAGAUAAAUUGUAGCAGAAUUAAUACAAUACUAUACUCCCUCUGACACCCUCGAUAAACAUUAUAUCAGUGACAGCAUCAAAAGUUGAUAGUCUCCAUAACUAGACCAAGAUUAGCCCCACCAUAAGUGCUUCUUUCACAACUUAAUUUUUAACCCCUGUCACAAGGUGAGGCAGAAAACAAUAUCCACGUCUACGUAACAAAUAAAAGAUUGUUGAAACUGACAAAAGAUAACCAAGCAUACCAGAAGUGCCUUCCAGUUAAGAACCACACAACAUCAGACAUCUGGAAAUUGAAGAGUAUAUCUAUAGCACGGGAAAUUCUAGGUAGAAGAGAAAAUGUAGUAGAAAAAAAAUACUAUUAUGUACUCCCUUUCCACCCCGAUUAAACAUAUCAAUGACCAUAAGAUUGUCGGUCCAAAAACCAGACCAAGACAGCCCCCACCUUAAGCUCCUACUUUGAUAGAAUCAGAACCUAUUUUGUAUCUCCUAUCACAGGGUGAGGCUGAAACCAACAUCGAGUCUAAAUAACAACAAAAGAACUACAAUAGAGAAAGCAAAGGUAACCAACUAUCAAACCCGAACUGCCGUCCAGUUAAGCUUGAUUAAGAACCACACAACGAUCGGGCAUCUGGAAAUGGAAGAGAAUAACGAUAAGCACCGGAAGGUCUAGAUGGAAGAUAAAUUGUAUUAGAAGAAAUACUAUCUAUACUCCCUCUGCCACCCUCGAUAAACACACUAUAUCAGUGACCACGUCAAAGGAUUGACUUGUGUGCAAUAACUUGACUAAGAUUAGCCCUACUUAAGCUCCUACUUUGAUAAAAUUAAAACUUAAUUUUUAUCUCAUGUCAUAGGGUGGGGCAGAAAACAAUAUCCACGUCUAUGUACAAACAAAAUUGUUGAAAUGACAAAAGAUAACCAAACAUCAAACCAGAAGUGUCUCCAGUUAAGAACCACCCAGAUCAGACAUACUGGAAAUUGAAGGUAUAUCUAUAAGACACGGAAAUUGGUAGAAGAGAAAAUUAAGUAGAAUAAAAACUAUUAUGUACUCCCUUUGCCACCCUCGAUUAACACAAUAUCAAUGACUCAUCAAAGAUCUGUCCGCGUACCAAAAACCAGACCAAGAU
rnacentral:lncRNA from 1 species